AAAUUAUCGUCGAUUAUAUUAUUAUUGGAAUUACCCGUUUAAAUAAUAAUAUUAAUUAUUUCGUUUAUAUAUUACGGGUUAAAUACCUUUUCCGUAUUAUAAAUUUCGUCCAAUUAUUCGAUUUCGCGGAUUAAAAAAAUUAAAUAAAACGUAAUAAUAACGAUAUCCGCGGAUUUGAAAUUGGAUUUAUUAACGGCGAAUUUCGUUAAUAUUGCGUAAAAUUGCAAUUAAAUUAAAAUAAUAGCCGUUUGCGGUGCAUUUGCAAUAUAUAUUUUAACUAAACCGUAAUAAUAUUUAACGUUAAAAAUAGGGAAAUUAAUAACGGUUUUUUUAAACGUUUACGAAACGAAAUUAACAGAAACGAAAAUUAAAAUAAAAAAACAAUUGCCGGAAUUUUAAAUGGUUUGGUCGUAUUAAUAACGGAAAUAUUAUAUAUAAAUUACCGUUAAAUAAAUAAUAAUUUUACCGAUACCCAUUUUAUUAAUAAAUAACCAAUUUUUUAAAAUUAACUGUUUAAAUUUAAAAAAAAUAUGGAUAUUUAUAACCAAAAAAAAAUUAAUUAACGAAUUUGGAAAUUAUAAUAAUAAUUACAAAAUUUAAAAAUGCAGGACGAAAAUAAAAAUUAACGAAAAUUGUAAUAACCGUUAUAAUUUGCAAAAAUGAUGCAAAUAAUAUUUAUUAACGAAUUAAUAAAAAAACUAAUAACGAUUGGAAAAGAUAUUGGAAAUAUCCCAAUUCGACCAAAAAUAUUUAUUUUUAAUUUUUAAAUAAUCGAAAUUUAUUUUACCGUCGAAUUCCAAACCGUCGACGGGAAAACGGUUGUUAUAAAAUUAUAAUUGAUAUAUAACGGUUUAAAUAACGUCCAAAUUAAAAAUAUAACCAAACCAAAAAUAAUUUUUAAUUAAAAUAAAAAAUUAUACGUGGUAAACCAAUAAAACCUCGAAAAUCCGUUUUUUAACCUUUUCGAAAAAUUUUUCGUCGCGACGGUUAUUUUCGGCCAAAUAAUCCGCAAUAAUUAAUUAAAUUUAUAUAAAAUUAAAAAAAUUGAUUUAUUAAUUAUUCCCGAAAAAUUUCGGAUAAAAUUUAAUAAUAUUAAUUUUGGAUUUGGUAAUAAUAAAACGAAAAAAACGUCUUUCGUCGUACAAAUUAUUAAUAAUAUUUUCCAAUAUUAGCAAAUUUAACGGAUAUAUUUGGAUUUAAUCCGUACGUUUUUUUUUUUUUUUAACCGUCCAAUUUCGAUUGGUUUAAAACGUGAUUAAAUAUUUACGGUUAAUAUAAUUAUUAUCCUAUUAUAAUAAAUUCGAUUAAAAACCGACAAAUUUAUAAUAUCGAUAAUUUAAUUUACCCGCGAAUAAAUAUCCAAACGUUAUUGGAAUUUUAUUAAAUAUAAAUUAUUUAAAAUAAUAACGUUAUCGGUAAUUAUUAAAUAAUUAAUAUUUAUAAAAAACGUAAACAAUUAUUCGACGUUAAAUUUAAAAAAAUUCCGGAAACCGCCCCCGAAUUCGCUGGGAUUUUUUUUAUUACCGAUAAUAAUUUUACCGAUUCGAUAAAAUAUAAAAUAAAAAAAAUAAUAAUAGGUUCGAAACCAAUUAUCGAUAUAAAAAUUACCGUAUAUAUAAAAUCCCGGAUCCGCGAAUUUAAAUUUCAAAUUUCUAUAUUGGAAAUUAAAACCGGUUAUUAUUUUCCGUAAAUAAAAUAAUAUAAUAAUAAAAAUAAUAAAAAUUAUAAUAGGUUUAAAUUUGUCGGUAAAAAUUUUCAAACCAGGGAAAUUAAUAUCGCCCUGGCGAAUAAAAAACGAAAUGGCAAAUAAUCGACGUUAAAUGGCCAAAUUUUUAAAAAUUAAUAUAAUAUUUUUAUUUCGGAAUAUAUUGGGUAUAAAAACCAAAAUUUUUUACCAAACGGGCAUUUUAUUACCUAUAAUCGAUUAACCGGGAUUACCGGUUUUAAAAUACGCCAAAAACCCGAAUAUAUCCGCCAUUAAUAAAAUUUGUUAAAAAAAAAAUAUUAAUCGUUAUUAUAAAUUAAAUAAACGUUUAAAAAAAUAAUGUUGUAAUAAUUAUUACAAUUU
rnacentral:sRNA from 1 species